rnacentral:rRNA from 1 species
AGAGUUUGAUCCUGGCUCAGGAUGAACGCUAGCUACAGGCUUAACACAUGCAAGUCGAGGGGCAGCAUGUUGGUUGCUUGCAACCGAUGAUGGCGACCGGCGCACGGGUGAGUAACGCGUAUCCAACCUACCCUUGUCCAUCGGAUAACCCGUCGAAAGGCGGCCUAACACGAUAUGCGGUUCACCGCAGGCAUCUAACGUGAACGAAAUGUGAAGGAGAAGGAUGGGGAUGCGUCUGAUUAGCUUGUUGGCGGGGUAACGGCCCACCAAGGCGACGAUCAGUAGGGGUUCUGAGAGGAAGGUCCCCCACAUUGGAACUGAGACACGGUCCAAACUCCUACGGGAGGCAGCAGUGAGGAAUAUUGGUCAAUGGACGAGAGUCUGAACCAGCCAAGUAGCGUGCAGGAUGACGGCCCUAUGGGUUGUAAACUGCUUUUAUAGGGGGAUAAAGUGUGCCACGUGUGGCAUAUUGCAGGUACCCUAUGAAUAAGGACCGGCUAAUUCCGUGCCAGCAGCCGCGGUAAUACGGAAGGUCCGGGCGUUAUCCGGAUUUAUUGGGUUUAAAGGGAGCGUAGGCCGUUUGGUAAGCGUGUUGUGAAAUGUCGGGGCUCAACCUGGGCAUUGCAGCGCGAACUGCCAGACUUGAGUGCGCAGGAAGUAGGCGGAAUUCGUCGUGUAGCGGUGAAAUGCUUAGAUAUGACGAAGAACUCCGAUUGCGAAGGCAGCCUGCUGUAGCGCAACUGACGCUGAAGCUCGAAAGCGUGGGUAUCGAACAGGAUUAGAUACCCUGGUAGUCCACGCGGUAAACGAUGGAUGCUCGCUGUUUGCGUCUGACGUAAGCGGCCAAGCGAAAGCGUUAAGCAUCCCACCUGGGGAGUACGCCGGCAACGGUGAAACUCAAAGGAAUUGACGGGGGCCCGCACAAGCGGAGGA